ACAGAGGGGGCGCGCGUUAUUCGGAGUUAUUGGGCGUAAAGGGCGCGUAGGCGGCUUGGCAAGUGGAUGGUGAAAUCCCUCGGCUUAACCGAGGAACUGCCAUCCAGACUGCUUUGCUUGAGGCCGGGAGAGGUAAGUGGAAUUCCGAGUGUAGAGGUGAAAUUCGUAGAUAUUCGGAAGAACACCAGUGGCGAAGGCGGCAUCCUGGACCGGCAUUGACGCUGAGGCGCGAAAGCCAGGGGAGCAAACGGGA
rnacentral:rRNA from 1 species